AUUGAACGCUGGCGGCAGGCCUAACACAUGCAAGUCGAGCGGAUGAAGGGAGCUUGCUCCUGGAUUCAGCGGCGGACGGGUGAGUAAUGCCUAGAAAUCUGCCUGGUAGUGGGGGAUAACGUCCGGAAACGGGCGCUAAUACCGCAUACGUCCUGAGGGAGAAAGUGGGGGAUCUUCGGACCUCACGCUAUCAGAUGAGCCUAGGUCGGAUUAGCUAGUUGGUGGGGUAAAGGCCUACCAAGGCGACGAUCCGUAACUGGUCCGAGAGGAUGAUCAGUCACACUGGAACUGAGACACGGUCCAGACUCCUACGGGAGGCAGCAGUGGGGAAUAUUGGACAAUGGGCGAAAGCCUGAUCCAGCCAUGCCGCGUGUGUGAAGAAGGUCUUCGGAUUGUAAAGCACUUUAAGUUGGGAGGAAGGGCAGUAAGUUAAUACCUUGCUGUUUUGACGUUACCAACAGAAUAAGCACCGGCUAACUUCGUG
rnacentral:rRNA from 1 species